AAAUUACAUGCCACAACAGCUGAUAAAGGAGGCAAAGACAAAUUCUGCGAAGAACACUAAUCUGUUAUAAAAUAGACCCAUAAGAAACAUAUACAUGUCAUAUCUGAAUGCCAAGAAGCCUGCAGAGAUUUUAUUGAAAAAAUGUGGACUAGGGAGUGGGGUGGGGGAGGAAGAAAUAGAAAAAAGAGGUACAGCCAACAACUGGCGUCCGGCUCUGUCGCUCUCUUUGCUUCCUUCCUCACCUGCUAAUUGGGCCGAGGCCAGUGGCCAGAGCAGAAUCCGCUCGCUAUGUCACCUGUUCUACUGGCCAGCGCAGCCGCCCUGUUCGUCUGUGACAUCACAGACCAUGUCCAGCGUGGCCUUUGGGUGCUCGGCUUCUCAUUGCCUCCUUCACCAUGCGUGGCUUGAUGUGGCUUUUCCGGUUUUUCGUGGGUUGCUCUGCCAUAUAUCCUACGGCAGCCCAUGUCCAGCCGGAGGAUGUGGCCCUCCUCCUGUCUUGGGGAAGCCUGGCCCUUAGCUCGGCCAUGGUGUUCCUGAUGGUGAUUGUUGUGAAGAAGCUCGGAAAGAAGCCCCCGUCGAAAGGGAUCCCUGAGAAAAAGGUGAAGGUCUUGUGGUGCAAAGUUUUGCUGAGGAUCCCAGGAAGGCCGGCCAGCUCAUCACCACGUGGGUGGCUUUUACUGGCUAAGAAAAAAAAAUUCCAAUUGAUUUUGAACAUGACAUUUAAAGGGCUUUUAAAGCCGGAAGAUGUGCUGGCGAGUCAAGAGGAGCUGCAAGGCCGCCUUUGGCAAACCUUCUCGCAGAUGGAGCAGGAGCUGGUGAAGCUGGUGACCCUGGUCCGGAGCCGUAAAGCGCGGCUGGCAGCGCGCCACCGCAGCUGCAAGGCCUCGGAGUGCCAGGAGGACAAAGAGAGCACUCUCAAGCCUUUCAACCUGGCAGUGUAUGAUAUUGUUGAGGAGGAUUAAGGGCCAUCAUCAUCUCUGGGGCCCGCUACGGAGAGAACGAGAGAAGGAAUAAAGCUGCCAGCAGAGCAAGUGGCGGUUGAGUU
rnacentral:lncRNA from 1 species